GAUGAAGAACGCAGCGAAUUGCGAUAAGUAAUGUGAAUUGCAGAUUUUCAGUGAAUCAUCGAAUCUUUGAACGCACAUUGCGCUCCCUGGUAUUCCGGGGAGCAUGCCUGUUCGAGCGUCAUUACAACCCUCAAGCUCUGCUUGGUGUUGGGCCCCGCCGCCCCGGCGGGCCCUAAAGUCAGUGGCGGUGCCGUCCGGCUCCGAGCGUAGUAAUUUUUCUCGCUUUGGAGGCCCGGGCGCGUGCUCGCCAUCAACCCCCAAUUUUUUUCAGGUUGACCUCGGAUCAGGUAGGGAUACCCGCUGAACUUAAGCAUAUCAUAAGCGGAGGA
rnacentral:misc_RNA from 1 species